rnacentral:rRNA from 1 species
AUCAUGGCUCAGGAUGAACGCUAGCGGCAGGCUUAAUACAUGCAAGUCGAGGGGCAGCAUGACUGUAGCAAUACAGUUGAUGGCGACCGGCAAACGGGUGCGGAACACGUACAGAACCUUCCUUCGAGCGGGGAAUAGCCCAGAGAAAUUUGGAUUAAUACCCCAUAGUACAACGGAGUGGCAUCACUUUGUUGUUAAAGAUUUAUCACUUGAAGAUGGCUGUGCGGCUGAUUAGGUAGUUGGCGGGGUAACGGCCCACCAAGCCUGCGAUCAGUAACUGGUGUGAGAGCACGACCAGUCACACGGGCACUGAGACACGGGCCCGACUCCUACGGGAGGCAGCAGUAAGGAAUAUUGGUCAAUGGACGAAAGUCUGAACCAGCCAUGCCGCGUGGAGGAUGAAGGUCCUCUGGAUUGUAAACUUCUUUUAUAUGGGACGAAAAAAGGGUUUUCUAACUCGUCUGACGGUACCAUAUGAAUAAGCACCGGCUAACUCCGUG